rnacentral:rRNA from 1 species
GCAGUCGAACGCUGAAGCUUGGUGCUUGCACUGGGUGGAUGAGUGGCGAACGGGUGAGUAAUACGUGAGUAACCUGCCCUUGACUCUGGGAUAAGCCUGGGAAACUGGGUCUAAUACUGGAUACGACAUGUCACCGCAUGGUGGUGUGUGGAAAGGGUUUUACUGGUUUUGGAUGGGCUCACGGCCUAUCAGCUUGUUGGUGGGGUAAUGGCUCACCAAGGCGACGACGGGUAGCCGGCCUGAGAGGGUGACCGGCCACACUGGGACUGAGACACGGCCCAGACUCCUACGGGAGGCAGCAGUGGGGAAUAUUGCACAAUGGGCGAAAGCCUGAUGCAGCGACGCCGCGUGAGGGAUGACGGCCUUCGGGUUGUAAACCUCUUUCAGCACGGAAGAAGCGAAAGUGACGGUACGUGCAGAAGAAGCGCCGGCUAACUACGUGCCAGCAGCCGCGGUAAUACGUAGGGCGCAAGCGUUGUCCGGAAUUAUUGGGCGUAAAGAGCUCGUAGGCGGUUUGUCGCGUCUGCUGUGAAAGCCCGGGGCUUAACCCCGGGUGUGCAGUGGGUACGGGCAGACUUGAGUGCAGUAGGGGAGACUGGAAUUCCUGGUGUAGCGGUGAAAUGCGCAGAUAUCAGGAGGAACACCGAUGGCGAAGGCAGGUCUCUGGGCUGUUACUGACGCUGAGGAGCGAAAGCAUGGGGAGCGAAC